CCAAAGGCUCUUUUAAGAGCCACCCACAGAGUCCGUAAAAGAGCA
rfam:Lepisosteus oculatus linkage group LG26, whole genome shotgun sequence.